rnacentral:misc_RNA from 1 species
GCUCCGUUGGUGAACCAGCGGAGGGAUCAUUACCGAGUUUACAACUCCCAAACCCCUGUGAACAUACCUUAAUGUUGCCUCGGCGGAUCAGCCCGCGCCCCGUAAAACGGGACGGCCCGCCAGAGGACCCAAACUCUAAUGUUUCUUAUUGUAACUUCUGAGUAAAACAAACAAAUAAAUCAAAACUUUCAACAACGGAUCUCUUGGUUCUG